CCCUUAGACGUUCUGGGCCGCACGCGCGCUACACUGGCCGGUGCAACAAGCAUCCGUCCUUGGCCGACAGGCCCGGGCAAUCUUUGAACGCCGGCCGUGAUGGGGAUAGACUUUUGCAAUUUUUGGUCUUCAACGAGGAAUUCCUAGUAAACGCAAGUCAUCAACUUGCAUUGAUUACGUCCCUGCCCUUUGUACACACCGCCCGUCGCACCUACCGAUUGAAUGGUCCGGUGAAGCCUCCGGAUUGGCGCGCACCUCGGUGCCGCCGAGAAGUUGGCUAAACCUUACCAUUUAGAGGAAGGUGAAGUCGUAACA
rnacentral:rRNA from 1 species